rnacentral:rRNA from 1 species
UACGUAGGGGCCUAGCGUUGUCCGGAUUUAUUGGGCGUAAAGAGCUCGUAGGCGGUUCGGUAAGUCAGGUGUGAAAUCUCCACGCUCAACGUGGAGGCGCCACCUGAAACUGCCGUGACUCGAGUCCGGUAGGGGAGUGUGGAAUUCCCGGUGUAGCGGUGAAAUGCGCAGAUAUCGGGAGGAACACCUAUGGCGAAGGCAGCUCGCUGGGACGUUACUGACGCUGAGACGCGAAAGCGUGGGGAGCAAACAGG